rnacentral:rRNA from 1 species
UACGGAGGGGGCUAGCGUUGUUCGGAAUUACUGGGCGUAAAGCGCACGUAGGCGGCUUUGCAAGUUAGAGGUGAAAGCCCGGGGCUCAACUCCGGAAUUGCCUUUAAAACUGCAUCGCUAGAAUUGUGGAGAGGUAAGCGGAAUUCCGAGUGUAGAGGUGAAAUUCGUAGAUAUUCGGAAGAACACCAGUGGCGAAGGCGACUUACUGGACACAUAUUGACGCUGAGGUGCGAAAGCGUGGGGAGCAAACAGG